ACCCGCUGAACUUAAGCAUAUCAAUAAGCGGAGGAAAAGAAACCAACAGGGAUUGCCCUAGUAACGGCGAGUGAAGCGGCAACAGCUCAAAUUUGAAAUCUGUGCGUCUUUGGCGUCCGAGUUGUAAUUUGCAGAGGGCGCUUUUGCAUUGGCAGCGGUCCAAGUUCCUUGGAACAGGACGUCACAGAGGGUGAGAAUCCCGUACGUGGUCGCUAGCCUUUACCGUGUAAAGCCCCUUCGACGAGUCGAGUUGUUUGGGAAUGCAGCUCUAAAUGGGAGGUAAAUUUCUUCUAAAGCUAAAUACUGGCCAGAGACCGAUAGCGCACAAGUAGAGUGAUCGAAAGAUGAAAAGCACUUUGGAAAGAGAGUUAAAAAGCCCGUGAAAUUGUUGAAAGGGAAGCGCUUGCAACCAGACUUGCCUGUAGUUGCUCAUCCGGGUUUUUACCCGGUGCUCUCUUCUAGAGGCAGGCCAGCAUCAGUUUGGGCGGUUGGAUAAAGGUCUCUGUCAUGUACCUCUCUUCGGGGAGAACUUAUAGGGGAGACGACAUGCAACCAGCCCGGACUGAGGUCCGCGCAUCUGCUAGGAUGCUGGCGUAAUGGCUGU
rnacentral:rRNA from 1 species